GACAAAGCAAGCCAAGGGUAGCAG
rnacentral:misc_RNA from 1 species